ACAUAAAUUACCGCGUCCUAUCAAGUGUCGAGGCAGGUAGUGGCGGGCCACGCUUCCCCUCCUUGCCCAUCCCUCAACGCCCAGACUUGAGGGGAAAGUGUGCCGGCCCGCUUCCGGUGUAAACUGGAAACUACUCGCUAUAGAGACGUCGGGGCGGUUGGUCCUUGGCUGGUGGACCAUAGAUACACGAAGCAGAAUGACCUGCUCGCGGGCGCCCUCCUGGCAUCGCCCUCCUGUUUUUUUUGCUUCCGGGGGGGCCCCGAAAAGCCACCCCGCCAUCAGUGAAGCUUUGGGUUUGCGGUGAAGGGCCGGGGAAGAGCGGGGCUCGCGCUGCAGGAGGCGGGGACUCCAAGGCUCAUCGUCCUGGGCCAGAAGCCGCAGCCCCCCCAGUGCUGCCACGUUCUUUGCCAGAAGACCUAAUUGACACCCUGACAGGGAACAGCUGCCAAGCGAAACCAAGCGCAGAAAGAAACCAUCCGCAGGAGAAUCUGGAACUCGCAGCGGCUCUGUGACUUGGCAGGAGGGGCUCGGCCGUCCGGGGCUGCCCAGCUGAGCCCCAGUUCAAAGGGGGGCCAGCCUGCCCUGCCGCACCCAGAAGAUCCCGCUGGGAGAGGCCCCUCCCCCCGGCAGCCUCCACUCACCGAGCAUUUGCCAACCCGGCCGUACUUCCUGCCACCCUCGGAAACCAGGAAACUUCAGAGGGACAGACAGACACAGCCCUGAGGAAGACCUGGAGAGACCCAGCGCAUGUCCACAACCCACAGACAGGGAGCGACAUGAAUUGGGCUGCUUAAGUAGGGAUAAAAUACAAUAAACCUAUUUUGGCAUGGAAA